GUCCUUUAGUUUUAUAUUGAAGGUUUAAUCUGCCCAAUGAUAAUUGAAUGGCCGCAGUAUAUUGACUGUGCAAAGGUAGCAUAAUAAUUAGUCUUUUAAUUGAAGGCUUGAAUGAAUGAUUGGAUGAAAAAUAAUCUUUAUUAUUAUAAAUUUUUGAAUUUAAUAUUUAAGUCAAAAAGCUUAAAUAUAUAGGUAAGACGAUAAGACCCUAUGGAAUUUAAAGUCUAAUUAAUUUUAAUAAAUUAAGAAUUAAUAAUGAUUUAAUUUGAAUAGAUUUUUUAUUGGGGUGAUAUUGAAAUAAUUUUAACUUUUAAUUGUAAUUACAUUAAUAUAUGUUAUAUUGAUCCUAUUUUUUGAUUGAAAGAUUAAAUUACCCUAGGGAUAACAGCGUAAUUAAUUUGGAGAGUUCAUAUUGAUAAAUUUAGUUUGCGACCUCGAUGUUGGAUUAAGAAAAGUGUUUGGAGCAAAAUCUAAAUAAAUUAGGUCUGUUCGACCUUUAAAUUCUU
rnacentral:rRNA from 1 species